CUGCUGCUCCUGAACCAACUCAUGGAUGGCAGCAGAGGGGCACUCUGACAGAAUGGUGUUUGACAUGUGUAUGGGAACUGUUGAAUCACGGCCUGAACCUCUGAUUGACCACCUGAGGCGAGUGCUGAGUCAUCUGCAGGGGCACAGGUGAAAGCAAUUUCACCUGAGUGACCGGAAGACUGGUCACUCUGAGGCUGACUCCCAAGGAGGAAGGAUCUUUCUCUGGAGAUCACUCCCCUUGGGACCCUUCUGCGAGCCCAGGAC
ensembl:lncRNA